rnacentral:other from 1 species
AAUUCCCUGCGGUGUUCGAUGGAGAAUUAAUGAUUGGUGAUCCAACACUAAUAACCAGGGGGCUUUUUUCCUGAUACGCUUUGGCGUGUUAGGCCCGGCUCCCACUUGGAACCAAAUUGGUUCAACCAAUCAUCUCCGACGGCACAUGUGGGGAUUUU